AUGUUCGUGGCGCGCAGUAUCGCGGCGGACCACAAGGAUCUCAUCCAUGAUGUGUCUUUUGACUUCCACGGGCGGCGGAUGGCCACCUGCUCCAGCGACCAAAGCGUCAAGGUCUGGGAUAAAAGUGAAAGUGGGGAAUGGCAUUGCACUGCUAGCUGGAAGACACAUAGUGGAUCUGUGUGGCGUGUGACAUGGGCCCAUCCUGAGUUUGGACAGGUUUUGGCUUCCUGUUCUUUUGACCGAACAGCUGCUGUCUGGGAAGAAAUCGUAGGAGAAUCAAAUGAUAAACUGCGCGGACAGAGCCACUGGGUCAAGAGGACAACGCUGGUGGACAGCAGAACGUCCGUUACCGAUGUGAAAUUUGCUCCUAAGCAUAUGGGUCUCAUGUUAGCAACAUGUUCAGCAGAUGGGAUAGUUAGAAUCUAUGAGGCUCCAGACGUCAUGAAUCUCAGCCAGUGGUCUCUGCAGCAUGAGAUCUCAUGCAAACUCAGCUGUAGUUGUAUUUCUUGGAACCCUUCAAGCUCUCGUGCUCAUGCUCCCAUGAUUGCUGUAGGAAGUGAUGACAGUAGUCCAAAUGCAAUGGCCAAGGUUCAGAUUUUCGAAUAUAAUGAAAACACCAGGAAAUAUGCAAAAGCUGAAACUCUCCUGACUGUCACAGACCCUGUUCAUGAUAUCGCCUUUGCUCCAAACUUGGGACGAUCUUUCCACAUUCUUGCCAUAGCAACCAAAGAUGUGAGAAUUUUUACAUUAAAGCCUGUGAGGAAAGAACUUACUUCCUCUGGUGGGCCAACAAAAUUUGAAAUCCAUAUCGUGGCUCAGUUUGAUAAUCAUAAUUCUCAGGUCUGGCGAGUGAGUUGGAAUAUAACAGGAACAGUGCUGGCAUCUUCAGGAGAUGAUGGCUGUGUGAGGUUGUGGAAAGCUAACUAUAUGGACAACUGGAAGUGUACUGGCAUUCUGAAAGGUAAUGGGAGCCCUGUCAAUGGGAGUUCUCAGCAGGGAAACUCAAAUCCGUCCAUAGGUUCAAAUAUCCCAAGUCUUCAGAAUUCACUAAAUGGAUCUUCUGCUGGCAGACUUUGUUCCCUGAAGCAUGAGGUCCCUUUCGAGGCAGUCGCCUGGAGGACAGCUGUUUUCAUGACUCUGUUUUCACUCGCUGUUACCAUUCUGAGGUCACUCGACUGGAGCUUUUCCUGCUCCAAGAUCAACUUUUUCUCCGGACUUCAGUUUUUAGGGCAAACUUUACGUGAGAUGGAAGAUUUUCGAGGUAUAGCCGAGGAGUCAUUUCCAAGCUUUUUAACCAAUUCAUUACUUGGUAAUAGUGGGAUUUUGGAAAAUGUCACUCUUUCUUCAAAUCUUGGCCUGCCUGUUGCUGUUUCCACACUUGCUAGAAAUCGAUCCAGCUCUGAAAACAGAUAUUCUGAUGUCCAGACAUCUUACUUAGUGGAAAGGAAGUUUUCGGUUCCAUCGGAGACAUCGCCCAGUAGCCAGAGUGAAGAUGAGCCGAGAGAGAGGUUACGGCUUGUCUUCUCGGAUGAUGAUUCUGUUGCUAAGAAAAAGAACCAGACAGGAAGUCAGUGUUUGUCAGAUGCUGUCCUCAGAGAGUCUGCUUUUCCCAGUGAUGGAGCAGGAGCAGAAGGGGAGCAGGCCAGAGCUGCAGAGCCGUUCCUGAGCCAGAGUCCUUCUGACAGAGCCUCCCCUCUGGGGCAAGAGCAAGACUCACCUGUUGAUUUUUGUUCACAAUCCUGGAUGAGUAAAGAGAAUAAGAUUGGUGUUCCUGAUGCGGGAAAACAUUUUGAAGAGAGGAAUCCAAACAGUGACUUAAGCCUUACUAGUUUCCUAGAAAACGAGAAACUGAUAUCACUUGCCAGCUUGGAAGAUUCUUCUGAUGGUGAUAUUGAUGAUGAAGAGUUUUAUGAUGAUCAUUUGGAGGCUUAUUUUGAGCAACUGGCGAUUCCAGGAAUGAUGUAUGAAGACCUAGAAGGACAGGAACCUCCAGAAAAUUAUUUUAAGUUACCUACAAGUGAUCCUAGUCAGGAAAGCAGAAGAGCAGAAGUUCUGGUGAAGACUCUUAGGACUCCUAGUGCCAAACUUAACCCCAUUGACUUUCAUGACACAAAUGCCAAUAAAGAUGAUUUUGAUUUGAUGGAUUCUCUAAAGCUGGAGGAAGGGUCUCCUCAUCAAAAUAAGCAUUUGGCGUCAGACUCAGAAACUGUUUUGCCUGUGGAUAGAUUUUUAGACACUGAGAUGCCUCAAGUGUCCAUUCAAACAAAUGUGGAUGUAGCAUCUUUGAAGCCUGUUAGUGACAGUGCAUUUAAUUCCACUGAUGCUCCAUGGUCACCCACCAGUGAAAGGCAAACCUGCGAAAGUUAUGAGUUGGUUGGAAAGACCAAGGACCAAGCGAACCCACCACAGAGUGUGGUCUAUCAGGAUGAGGAGGGCAGAUGGGUCACUGAUCUCGCGUAUUAUACACCUUUUGAUAAAGAACAAGAUUUCAAUGUGUCACUCAGUAAUGAACUGAGCGAAGACUUCCGAUCUGGCUCUGAUGCAUUGGAUUUGAUUGCACAAGAUGAAGAAGAAUUUAAUAAAGAGCAUCAGUUUAUGCAGGAAGAAAAUAUAGAUGCCCAGAACAUGUCUGUUGCCCUUGGAGAUACAUCAUGGGGAACUUCGGUCAACUAUGGUCUGCUGAGGAGAUCACUGAGUGCAUCAGAUGUGGACAGAGAUGAUGCCAGUUACUUACGUCUGUCUUUAGGGGAGUUCUUUGCUCAAAGGUCUGAAGCUCUUGGUUGCCUUGGUGGUGGUUACAAUGUGAAAAGACCAUCGUUUGGUUAUUUUAUUAGAUCACCAGAGAAAAGAGAACCUAUUGCCCUAAUAAGAAAAUCAGACCUAUCAAGAAGUAAUUUGGGAAAAGAAGUGGCUGAUCUUAACCAUGGUUUUUUUUCAGGAGAUUUAAAGGCACAGCUAAGUGAAGGAUCAGUUACACUUCAGGCUGAAGAACUGGAGAGUAUUUCACAAGUGGAUGAAAAUGAUGUGACAUUAACUGCCAAUAAAGGAAAAGCAGAGGACACUUUCCUUGUCAGCAGCAAACCUCAGAGACAUACAGACGAGCUGCCCAGUGAGAGUGACUCUGUGCUGAGGAUAAGCACCAUUGCUUCUGCCAUUGCGGAAGCAUCAGUGAGCGCUGACCCUCUCCAGCUUGCCACCAUGAUCAAAGCACUUUCAAAUAAAACCCGAGAGAAGACUUGUCAGGAGGAUGGUAAACAAAGACACCAUUCUGCUGUGUCUCAUUUCUUACCUGAUGAUCUGGAAAAAAGUAAUGGAUCCAGCACAUUUGAUAUGGAGAGAUACCUUAAGAAAACAGAAAUUAGUCAGUGUGAAGGUGGGCUGGACAACUUUUCAAGAGCUGGUGUGUCUGGUAUUUGGGAUUUAUCUUUGUCCAAAGAACGGACUACACACGACAUCGAUGUGGUGGACCUGGGUGCUACUAGCAUAAGCGUAAGGGAGCCAGAGAUAGGCACUGCAGCUGGUUGUUAUGGUGAAAGUGGAGACAUUGUGGAUCAGGCAUCGCUGAGAACAAUUAGCUCUUCAAAUUCAGUUCUUACAAAUGUGGGUGAGAGAGCGGGUACAGCGGUUGAUAUAAAGACACAUUCCAUUGACCAUAAAUCCCCAGAUUCUGGUGAUGGCGAAAAAGCUGCCUCCAUACCCAUUUCAGCCUCUGAUAGUUGCUCCGUCGUUGGGAACCCCAGAGUAGCAUCUCUCUGGCUGUCAGAAGAGUGUAAAGGCCUACAGGAGAGUAGAGACUACCAAAGGCAAAAUGAGUGCAUUAGUGAGACAAGUAACAGUGAAAAGCACGUGGCUUUUGAAAACCAUUCCAUAAUCUCACCUAAAAGUGUUGAUUUGAAAAGUCCCUCUCCUGAGCGAGGUGGACACGGCUCGGAGAAUGGCGAGGACAGCUUCCGACCUUCCACUUCUCCACUGAGUCAUUCUUCUCCUAGUGAAAUUUCAGGAACUAGUUUAUCAGGGUGUGCCCUGGAGUCAUUUGGUUCAGCAGCUCAUCCACAGAAGCGCCCCUGUGAGAGGGAGUUGUCCCAGCUGACGUAUCCAGAGGCCAGUGUCAGCAGGCUGACGUACGUGUCCCAGCAGGAGAGCAUCAGUCCCUCCGUGGCCUCAGGUCGUGGCCUUGACGACCGCGAGAGUGAUAUCACCAGUGAGUUGAGCACCACAAUUAUCCAGGCCAGUCCAGUUCCAGCUCAGGAGCCGGCUGCAGAGAAGUUGGGAGAAAAAAGCCCAUUUCAAAGUAGAGGAAAAGGAGCAUUAUCAUAUAUUAUCCAGAAGAACUUGGACACAGAAAAAGUGACUGAAACGAAUUCCCUGAGCAGUAGACCUGAAGAUGUAAAACUGGACUUUAGCUCCAGUAGACUGCCUUCCUCCAAGAGUGAAGAUCGGUCACAGACCAGUGUGAUGGGUUUGACCUCAGACCGAGGUGACCUGGAGCAGGUUAGCCUGGCUCUGCCGAGUGAAUCCAGCCUCCACCCGGCCACACUGGCCACACCGUGCCUCCCAAUGUCCUGCCAGGCACCUGUGCUCGACGGUGGGUGCGUGACUCCUAGAGAUACAUCAGCUACUGACAGCGAAUUCAGUGGCCAGGGUCCUUACCAGACAUCUGUCCCCAGCACCGAGGGCUGCGGCCCUGCACCCAUGAGGCAGCACAUGCCCCCCACAGGUCCUGCAGUCUCAGUGCGCUAUCCCCUCCCCAUAGCUCCUUGUGCCCAGCUGCACUCUGGGGCACUGCCUGCAGCCAGCAGUGCCACCCUGCCUCGCUGCCGGGCCUGUGGCGCCACCGCUUGCGGGCUCUCCUGUGGGCUCCCUGGAAGCUGUCACCCUGCUGUUGUGAGAGAGCAUGUCCAGCGCUCGGUGACUUCAGGCCUCUGCCUGGGACAGGAUAUCGGCUCAGGGCUGAUGGCCUCCUCUUCCUUUUGUAACCUGUACUCUGACACCUUCAGUCAGAACCUUCUGAAUGCGGCCAAAGUGCUUCCUGUGCAGUCUCUCCAUCCAGACUGUGGAAUUGAGCCAUGGGAUUCAGCAGUGGUGUCAGGACUUGGGAGAGUAAGUGUGCCUGAGGAAUUGAAGUUUCCUCAUGCUUGCUGUGUUGGCAUUGCUUCACAAACUUACCUCAGUGUCCUGAACCCUGCUGACCGCUGGCUGCAGGUCAGCAUCGGGGUUCUCAGUGUCAGUGUUGACGGUGAAAAGGUGGAUUUUUCAGCUUAUCCUUGUUUAGUUUUCAAGAAUAGAGUCAUCAUAAGACCUCAUGCCACAGAAGAGAUUAAAGUGCUCUUCAUACCAUCUGAUCCCGGGAUCUUCCGAUGUAUAUUCAGUGUUGCUUCCUGGCCAUUCUCAGCCGACGCAGAGACCGUGGCACAGGCGGAAGCCCUGGCCAGCAGGGUUGUCCUCACUGCCAUUGCUGAGACUCCCAUGAUCGAGGUAGAAACAGAAAAGAAAGGUGUUCUUGAUUUUGGCGACUUGACUUAUGGAAGCUGGAAAGCUCUGCCUCUAAAACUGGUGAACAAGACACAUGCCAACAUCCCCAUCAGACUGAUUAUCAGUGCUAAUGCUGUGGCCUGGCGCUGCUUCACCUUUUCCAAGGAGCCCAUCCACGCAGCUCUGAGAGCAUUGCCUUAUGCCCAUGCAAUUGCGCAGCUGGCCGCCCCUUCCGUGAUCAACCACAUGAUGCCUGCCAGUGACGAUGGACAGGAUCCAGAAUUUCUGGUAAUUUGGGUUCUUUUCCAUAGUCCAAAGAAACAGAUCACUUCUUCAGAGAUUCUAGACUCAGCAGAAGAGUUUUUGGCAAGAGUCGAUAUAGAAGUUGAUAGUCCAAACCCCACACCAGUCAUUAAAAGCAUCAGUCUUCGAGCAAGAACAGGAAUUGCCCGCAUCCAUGCCCCAAAAGACCUCCAGACUCUGCACUUGUUUGCCAGUGUGGCUUCCUCAGCAAGGCAAUGCUUACCUCUGAAAAAUGCUGGGAAUAUUGAUGUCCACCUGGAUAUCAAGAUCCCAGAUCAAGGAAGUCACUUUUCAGUGGAUCCAGAGAAACUAUUCCUUAAACCUGGAGAAGAGCAUGAAGUUAUAGUUUCAUUUUCUCCAAAGGAUCCCAUGGGCUGUGAGGAAAGGAUCUUGAAAAUAUUCGUGCAGCCAUUUGGCCCUCAGUAUGAAGUGAUGUUAAAAGGUGAAGUAGUUUCUUCAGGAAAUAGGCCUCUGGCACCUGAAUCUCUCACCUCAGAUGUUCCUUCAAUUUUAUCCAACAAGCAGUUUCUGGCCUGGGGAGGUGUCCCCCUCGGUAGAACACAGCUUCAGAAACUAGCUUUAAGAAACAAUUCUGCAUCUACAGUCCAGCAUUUACGCCUGCUUGUCAGAGGACAAGACCAGGACUGCUUUCAGCUGCAGCACACUUUUGGCUCAGAAGAGCGAUUGACCAAUAACUGUGAGGUCAGGAUUCGUCCAAAAGAAGACAUUUAUAUCUCCGUGUUGUUUGCACCUACUCGCCUGUCUUGUAUGUUGGCCAAACUCGAAAUUAAACAACUUGGAGUUCGAUCACAACCAGGUGUUAAGUUCACAAUACCUUUGUCUGGAUAUGGAGGCACAAGUAACCUCAUUUUGGAAGAUGUUAAAAAAUUAUCUGACAGUUACAUGGUAACAGUGAAUGACUUAGUGCCUGGCCAGGAAAGUAGAGUUGUUAUUUCUGUCCGUAACACUGGCUCUCGAGCAGCUUUUGUUAAAGCUGUAGGUUUUAAGGAUUCUCAGAAAAAAGUUUUGCUGGAUCCUAAAGUAUUAAGGAUUUUUCCAGACAAAUUUGUGCUGAAGGAAAGAACACAGGAAGAUGUUACUAUAAUAUAUAAUCCAUCAGACAGAGAAAGCAGUUGUAAAACCACCACAGAACUGUCAACUAUAUACUUUUUUGGUGGAGAUGAAAUUUCACGUCAGCAGUAUCGAAGAGCUAUGCUGCACAUGCCAGAGAUGAGAGAGCAGGUCCUGCCCAGUCAGAGCGUGCUGCACAGCAUCGACUUUGCAGAAGCAUUUCAGGACGAGCUGCUUGUAACUGAAGUGUAUGACCUUCCCCAGCGGCCCAGUGAUGUCCAGCUCUUUUAUGGAAACAUGCGUAAAAUUAUACUUUCAGUAAUUGGAGAAUUUAGAGAUUCCGUUUCCAGCAGAGAAUUUCUUCCACCUUCUGCCAAACCUAGCUUGGAAUUCAAAAGUGAAUCUGGCAGUUGUGAGGCACAUGGUGGUAACAUUUCUUUGGAUGUUUUGCCAGUGAAGGGUCCUCAGGGUUCUCCCCUUCUUUCACAAGCUGUUCACCCACCUCAGGAUAACUUGGCCUCAGAGGAAGUGUGGGCUGUCCACCCUGAGCACCUGAUCUUGGUUGCUCCUUCAUGUGAUACAGCAAAAACUGGACGUUUCCAGAUUUUAAAUAACUCUAUUAGGUUGCUGAAAUUUGAGCUGUACUGGCCAGCACACUGCCUUACAGUGACUCCGCAACAUGGGUUUAUCGCAGCAGAGAGUAAGAUGCAAAUUCUUGUGAGUCCCAAUUCCUCCUUAUCCACAAAACAGUCAAUGUUCCCGUGGAGCGGCUUGAUCUAUAUACACUGUGACAAUGGACAGAAGAAAAUUGUGAAGGUUCAAAUCCGAGAAGACUUGACCCAAGAAGAACUUUUCACUCAUUUGACCUCCAGCCCACUUGGAAUCCUUUCCCAAGAAACCGAGCAUGCAGUUAAUCUGGUAAAACCAGCAACAAAACCACCUUCCACAAAAGUUGAGCUAAGAAACAAGACAGUUACUUUUCCUCCAACAGAACCUGGUGAGACCUCAGGAAAUUAUCUGGAACUUGAGAAUCAUGGUGACACAGAUGUGAGGUGGCACCUGUCAUCUUUAGCCCCACCUUAUGUCAAGGGAGUUGAUGAGAGUGGAGAUGUUUUUAGAGCUACCUAUGCAGCAUUCAGAUGUUCUCCUAUUUCUGGUGUACUGGAAGGCCAUAGUGUCCAAAAGGUCUCCAUCAUGUUUUUGCCCAGAGAUAGAGGAGACUAUGCCCAGUUUUGGGAUGUUGAGUGUCACCCUCUUAAAGAGCCUCACCUGAAGCACACCUUAAGAUUCCAGCUCUCUGGACAUAGUGUCAGAGCAGAAAGUGAGCCUGGAAUUUCAUGCAUUUCCACAAAUAGCCUCAUUAAAAUAGAUAAUAUACUUAAGCUCCGAAGACAGGCUGUAUCUGAGGCUUCUGCCCUCAUACCUGGCAGGCAACUUGACUUGACCCACCGUGGAGUUUAUGCCCCAGAAGACGUGUAUCAAUUUCUGCCAACGAGAGUUGGGGAGUCAAGGACGUUGAAAGUCAAUUUGCGAAAUAAUUCUUUUAUUACACACUCGCUCAAGUUUUUAAGUCCCAGAGAGCCUUUCUACGUCAAACAUUCAAAAUAUUCUUUGAGGUGA
rnacentral:lncRNA from 1 species